AGAAUGUCACCUCCAUCCGCAUCCCCUCUGAGCUCAUCUGGCGGCCGGACAUCGUCCUCUACAACGUCCCCAGCAAACAAAGCCUCGGGCUGGG
rnacentral:sRNA from 1 species